AAGUCGUAACAAGGUUUCCGUAGGUGAACCUGCGGAAGGAUCAUUAAAGAGUUAGGGUCUUUCAGGCCCGACCUCCCAACCCUUUGUUUAUUGAACCAUUGUUGCUUCGGUGGGCCCGUCUCACGACCGCCGGGGGUUUAACCUCCCCUGGCCAGUGCCCGCCGAUGGCCCCUCUUUAAACACUUAUGAAUCGUGUCUCAUGCCUAAAUUAUGAUUAAAAAUCAAAACAAAACUUUCAACAACGGAUCUCUUGGUUCUG
rnacentral:misc_RNA from 1 species